AUUUUUUUAAACGGCCCGUCUCUUAGCUCAUUAAUUCUGCUUAUUUUCAUACCCUCAGCGGAGUAUUUUAAAUAUGGAACCAUGUCUAUAGAUGGAAGGGUGUGCAGAAGCCAAGGUGCAGCAGCGAUAUCUUUCUUGCCACUUAGCUGCGUGAUCAGCAUCAACGUCGCCAUCAGCACAACAUCAAGCAUCGACAUUAAUUUCGGAUGUUUAGGUUUCGUUUUGGAACACUGCGCAAAUUUGGUCAAAUCUGGCCGAAAACCGUGGCUUGAGGUUGUUGAUUGAUGAAUCGUGCACUAAAAAUUAUCAUGUUCUAAAACAUCAUGAAAAGCAAAUACUCUUACAUACAAGUAUCUACAAUUUCAACAAAUUACGAAACUGUGAGUGACUCUUUAUUUAAUUAUUUAUGAUUUUAUUAUACUUUGAAUUAGUAUGCUUGUUUGUGAAGGAAUUUUAUUCCUGCAAUCUAUUCUUAUUUAUUAUUGCCCUGUCAUUGAAGUGAUCAAUGUUAUACAUAUAUUAUAUUUGUUUUGGGUUUUGAAUUUGACUUAACCCACUGUUGCCGUCUUAAUGAUUUAAUUUGGUCAACAUUGGCUUGUCAAUGACAAGGCAUAUAUAGUGGAGAACACGAGAACGAUACUACAACUAUAAUGUAUUAAUGGCAUUUCUAAGCAGAUGCAGAUAACGUUCGUCCCACUUUGGAAUGUUGUUAUAACGUUCGUAAUUUGGCCUUGGAUCGGUCCAAUCGGUCCUAAAGUACAAGCAAAAUCCAUAAGUUUAGACCCAAUUACUUGCUAAAGUUUUCGAGUCGUACAAACGGAAUGGCUAGAAAUUGUUUAAAACUUAUUUCAAAUGUCAACCGUCUUGGCUGUUUCCAAGUGUAGAGAAAGCCUAUUGAGAUGGAGCGUAACCGAUUAGCGAUUAUGCUAAUUCACAUUUUUUUAAACUCAUCUGAGCAUAUUUAUGCGCGUAUAAAAUAUUUGACGAUGCGCCGCCGAGCCCACCAAACAAAAAGAAAUCAAAACAAAAGCGCAAACUUGAACGUUGUUGAAACAGAAUAAAAAUGCGACUGGGGGACGAACUGACGCGAUAUGAAGAAGCGCAUUUUUAAAAAUGCCUUUGCAUUCCGAAAAAUACCAUCGAGCUAAUAGGUCCCUUUGAAGUUGCCACGAAAGAGAGCUGCAGAUGAGGUUAAAAAAAUAAAAAAUUACAGAACUGCCGAAUUCCUAAUAGAGCGGGAUGGCUCAAAACAUUUCCUUCGUCGGGAGACCCUUUUUAAUUCAUAACCGGACUUGAGCUUUACCUUUUUUUUUUUGGGAACUAAUAUGCGACACAGACAUGAUGCGGUGCUGCACCACCAGGACACCACAUUUUUGCCAUCCUGACAAAUGUCCAGACCGGGCACACAGAUUUAUUUAGCUGCAAACAAUUUUAAUCCACUUGAGUGCCAAUUUAUCAGCCGGCUAACAAACAAACCAGCCACACCAAAUUGAUAUGUGCUACCCAGUAACUAUAUAUGGCUGCAUAUAAGUAGAAGAUGGGCAGUGGCGACUGCCGUUGGCUCAAGGACCUAAUUCAUUUUUCUCAUCCAACCAAAGUACGAGUAUACGUAUUUUAUGACAGUGUACCGACUUGUCUGACAGGGUUUUUCUUAAAAUAUGCCCCAAACCUGUUUACAAUGCACUUAAUGAAAUACUAUGUUUACAAUUACGUUUCUCGCUAUACGUUUAAACAAGUGAAUAAUGUUUCUGGCAAGGCAUAAAAUUAAGAAGUUAAACUACUUAGCUUUUCACUAUUUUAUAUCGAUCUAAGCCCAUUUCUCAUUCUUCCGCCAAAAUUCUUCAGUUUUUUAAUGCAAUUUACGUUGUAUUUUCACAAAUUAUGUAUUUAAAUUUUGUUGAAUUUUAAGUAUAGAAGAGGGAAAGCUCUUGGGGUUGACAAGAAACCCUUUUUUUUUGGGGCGAAGGUGUAAAGGGGAUUUGCUGCCCAACAGCGAAAUGGAAAAUGAUUUAUUGAAGGUGAAAUAUUUAUUGUUGUUUUUUUUUUUCGCUCUUUUUUUGUGUAUGAUUGCUGUGCCUUGUUUCGGUUUUGUUUCCACAGUAAACAAUGGCUAUGCGGCAUCUUUUGAAUUCUUUCCACCUCCAUCGAUAAAAAAAAGUGAAAUAAUUAUUAACAAAAACAAGAGGCAAACAUGGAACAACAGAUGCUCCGGCGGACGAGACGAAAAACCCUCAUCCCUUCCUUAAAUAUUUAUUUAUUCUGCGUUUUGGGUCAAUUCCUCUGGUUUCAUUUAAUUAAAAAGAAAAGCCAACUCGCGAGGCAUAAUAUCAAAAACAAAAAAAACGCAAAAGAGGGAAAAGGGAAUAUAAAUAUCCAGUCACAUGCAUGGAUAUCUGGGUGUCCUUUUGGGCUGCCGCCCGGCUUGUCCUGGUAUUUACUUAGGAUCAGGUGGUGAGCACUCAUCCCAUAGCCGAUUUUUCCCAACAAUGCCAAGAAGCCGCCGCGGCAGGCGAAGCCAAAAUUUCAAUUUCGCGGUUGCUGCAUAUUUUCCCAGCCUUUACUUCUACCCACUUUGCUUUUGACUUUGCCAACAAGGGACAAGCAACUUUCGGCAAUGGAAUUUAAACGAAUUUUUAAACAGGCCAAGUUCCAACUCCCUAGACCCCCAUACCCCACACUCACCGUAAGGUUUUCCAUGCCCAUCUCAACUUUAAAGCCGUCCAAAACCCCAAAAAAGAAGCACAACGGAGAGCUUAAGCGAUAAUUGGCCACUAGGAAAUGUCGAUGAUGUUGAAUCGGGAAAUGCAAAUUGCCAAUGUCCGGAACGGGCUUAGUCGGCUAAGUCCAAGAACUCAAAAUAUGAAAAAAACAAAGAAACAAAAAAAAAGCAACUUCGACUGUUGGCUUAGGCCAGGCGACCUGACAUGGAUCAGUUUAAGCGUUUCAAGUCAGAGCCAACAAAUUGAUAUGCAGCAGAUGUUGCCAGGUUUACAUCCAUAAUAGUAAUAAUAAUCAGAGACCGGGGAGAGAUAAUGGCCAACCACCGAGAAGUUUGAAUACACUUACUGGCGAGGUAGUGAAAUUAAGUAUCACUGUGCAACCCCGAUUAAUCAAGUAACUGCUUAUUGUUGAUUAUUCAAAACCAUCUGCAUAACGACAUGUAGAUAUGUAGAGUUUGGCAUAGGAAUCAAAGGUCUCAGAAGCUUAAAUUUCUAUGGACUUUGCCUGAAUUGGCCUGACCACUUCGCUGGUUAGUGUAUGCUCCAGAAAAUAUCAGAGAAAGAGCAGCUACUCAGUCGGAGUCGGGCUCAGGCGUGUGGAUGUGGAUGUCGAAGCCUGUCAGAGGGAUUAGCUCGCCUGAUUGGACACGAUGUGAUUAACUUGUCGUCAACGCGGUGACUCCGUCGCCGAAUGAGAAUCUGAAUCCGACUUUUGGUUUUCCCGCCGACUGUGUCGACGACACGUUCCACGCUUAACCGGAGGCAGCACCGCACCAUCCACUACCAUGCCACCACCACCCAAGCCUCCUGUCCGUUCCCGCUAAACAAAAGUGCAAACAUUGACAGACGGCUAACGACGCGGGGAUGGGUACCGACAUGGGAUGGGAAUCGUAUGGGCAUGGCGGGGAGGUUGGUGCCUUGCAAAAAGAGUGUGUGGGUGCGGAAUUGCCAGGCCAAAAUUAACCCAUUACGCACUCCAUUAACGCAGUUUGCCUAUGCAUGUGGGCGCCGUCUAAUUAGUUGUGGCAGCUGAUGCUCCACACUCUGCUCCGAUAUUCCUGCACAUGUGUACCUAAUACAAUUACCAACGGCAGACAGGCGAAAUGCCACCCGCAAAUCAAGUUAUUCAGCUUGGCUUAGUCCAAAUCUAGUGCACCCACACUAGCGGAACAUCGCAAUUUUAAUCCGAUAUUGCAAAUGAUCUGUUUCAAAAUGAUAUCACACAGCCUCUUUCGAAAAUUGUUAAGCUGAAAUAUCAAAUAGCUUUUAAUUACCUGUUACGAAAUAAUUGAGCUCAUCUCUGGGUGAAACAAUAUAUUGUUGCUUUUGAGGGCGA